rnacentral:rRNA from 1 species
AUACGGAGGGCGCAAGCGUUACUCAGAAUCACUGGGCGUAAAGCGCGCGCAGGCGGUCUUUUAAGUUGGAUGUGAAAGCCUACGGCUCAACCGUAGAACUGCAUCCAAAACUAUUAGACUAGAGUGUGGGAGAGGAAGAUGGAAUUAGUUGUGUAGGGGUAAAAUCCGUAGAGAUAACUAGGAAUACCAAAAGCGAAGGCAAUCUUCUGGAACACUACUGACGCUGAGGCGCGAAAGCGUGGGAGCAAACAGGAUUAGAAACCCUAGUAGUCC